GUAGUUUUCCAGUUCGAUCUGUAACAUUUCUAGUCUUUCUCGUCGCUGUCAUUUCAUUACUGAUCGGGGGCAGUAAAUGGAAAGAUCGAUACUGUCCUUGCAACUCUAGGAAUGCAAAACUAAGUGAAAACCGAGGCAAACCAUGUGAAGUUGACCCUAUGGGAGAUGUUGACGUCCAUGAGGAAAUAACUUCAAAAUUAUGAACAUCUAGGGAUUCUCAUUUCCAAUCUGUCAAUUUUUUCUUUCCAAAGUACCAUCAAGUCCAACAACUCACUCAGGCAGAACACCUUUAAGACAAUCAUGUCCUAAAACCUACCCUUUCUAAAAAAAAGUUUAUGCCAGGAACACAAAUUUUCUAGGCAAAUCUAACAUGUUGCUGAAGGCCACUCAGCUGCCCCAGCCUUUUGACAAAGCAAUGUUUUUCCUCACCAUGCCAUCAGCUGAAGGUGCCAUCCCCAUUGAUAAGCAUGGGCUCAUUCUUGUGGUAGUAUCCCUACCGCAAAGACAGGAGGCCUGGGUUCAAAUCCCAAGUGUUCCAGAGAUGAGUAAUGCCAUCUCUAACAGGUUGCUUAGAGAAUAUCUAGUCUUAUCUGGUCGAUUUUACUUGCCUCAUUUUUCAUGUCAAUUUAUUAAUCAUGUUUGAGAGAGGCAAUAGAGGUAAGGGACCUAAAACCAGUAUGACAUUCACCCUGAAAAGUUUCCCCACCGAUUAUAAGGCCGAACAUUAGUUUCUAAUAAUUGGCGUUUCAAGUCUCCAAGAAUGUAAAACAACAAGUUGUCAGCUUUGUCUGAGAACA